rnacentral:lncRNA from 1 species
GAGAUCAAUCCCCCGUCCUCCUGCUCUUUGCUCCGUGAGAAAGAUCCACCUACGACCUCAGGUCCUCAGACGGACCAGACCAAGAAACAUCUCACCAAUUUCAAAUCUGAAACAUCGCCCAUUCUCUCUCCAUACCAACCCCCAAAAAUUUUCGCCGCUCCAACGCUUCAAUGCUAUUUUGUUUUAUUUGUCUUAUUAAUAUAAGAAGGCAGGAAUGUCAGGCCUCUGAGCCCAG